rnacentral:rRNA from 1 species
UACGGAGGAUGCGAGCGUUAUCCGGAUUUAUUGGGUUUAAAGGGUGCGUAGGCGGGACGUCAAGUCAGCGGUGAAAUACUGUGGCUCAACCAUAGUACUGCCGUUGAAACUGGCGACCUUGAGUGCGGCAGAGGUAGGCGGAAUGUGUGGUGUAGCGGUGAAAUGCUUAGAUAUCACACAGAACACCGAUUGCGAAGGCAGCUUACUGGAGCGCAACUGACGCUGAGGCACGAAAGCGUGGGUAU